rnacentral:lncRNA from 1 species
CAACCUUAAAAACUAAACCUAUAUCUAUAGAGUGCUCGGCAGCCGGCAGGAAAACCGUAAACGUAUACGCAUGGAUAUGCCGACCGAUUUGAUGAAGAAAGAGGAGACACAAAAAGUGUCUGACAGUCAUGAUUGGUCCAAGUGUUAAUCAAGAAGACAUUUAACACUAACUAAGUCAUAGUUAAGGGUUAAAUGUAGGUUACUUGGGUUACUCGGGUUACAGGUUACUUGGGUUACUCGGGUUACAAGUCUGAAUGAGGGUGCUAUUAGUCUUUGUGCACAACCCAUAAACCCUAGAGAGUGUGUUCUCAUAUAAAAGCACUUGUGUGCCUCCACUUUGUAAAAACAAUGUUUAUCCUUUAAUAACAACACUUUUCUCUCAACUAUGAUUUUUCAUUAAUCCAAAUUUCCGCUCAAACUCUCUCUCAAUCUUAACAUGGUAUCAGAGCAAGAUCCUCAUUCUAAACUCUAAAUCCUUUCUAUUCUCCUUUCUAUUUUUCUUUAAAUCUCUGGCCUUGAAUCUCUGAUUUUCGAAUCUCUGUUCUUUCUCAUCUUGGUUGCUAUUAUCCAACGGUUAAAGAAAAGUACUCUUGUUCAUUUGUUCUCUAAACUCAAACCUGUUUCACUAAAUCUAUUUCUCUUGUAUCCGCUGUGCACUCAUGGAGAAUUUCUCACACUUCAAAAGGAUAGUGAUUCCGGUUACACUCAACGGUGAAAACUACCUCUUAUGGGCUCGCUCGGCGAAGAAUAACUUGGGUAGUUGUGGAUUAUGGAACCACAUUGAAGCCAUCAAAGGGAAGAAAGAUCCCUCGAUUGAAAUCGAAGAAGAAGACGGAAAAGAAGAGAAAGAACUCACUCCCGAAGAGGAGAAGUGGGCUCAAGAAGACCAAGUAGCGCUUGUGGCCCUUCAAAAUUCUCUUGAGACGUCUAUACUACAAGCUUACUCCUACUGCGAGAGAGCUAAAGAACUAUGGGAUACACUCAAGAAUGUGUAUGGCGAUGUCUCAAACUUGACUCGGGUGUUUGAAGUCAAGAGAGCAAUCAACAACUUACACAUGGAGGAUCUCGACUUCAAGAAGUACUUUGGAAAGUACCGAUCUCUCCUAGCUGAGCUCGAAAUGCUAAGACCUCCAACAAUCAAACCAAAAGAGCUAGCCAUGAGGCGAGAGCAAGACAAUGUUUUUGGCUUGCUUUUGGGUCUAAGUCCAAAUCUCAACGGACUAGUUCAACAUAUCCUAAGAGGAGAUGAACUACCAACUCUAGAUGGGGCAUGUUCCCAAAUCCAAAAGGAGAUUGGUGGUCUUGGCUUGUUCUACAAGGGAGAUCUACCCACGGCCAACAAAGGAACUCUUCAAGGGAAAGAGGAAACACCGGUGGCAAGCAAAGGAGUGUUUAAACCAAAUGCAGAUCGAAGAAACUUGGUGUGUGAGCAUUGUAAACGAAAGGGUCAUAUUAAAGAAAAAUGUUGGAUACUUCAUCCUCAUCUAAAGCCAAGCAAAUUCAAGGAACCAAGAGCUCACAUGGCCGAAGGUUCUAGCUCGGGUCAAGGAGAGAGUGGUAACAAGGGAGUCUCAGGUCAAGAGCUAGCUUUGGUUCCAACUACACAUAUCUCUCAAGGAGAUAUAGUGAUGAAAAAGGCGGACUUGGAAGCAUUAUUUCAAGCCAUGGCCUCUAAGCUCAACGCUAAUAAUGGUAUCUCUCUCUACUCUAGUAUUUCGAGCACUUCUAAUGAUCACUAUGUUGUUGAUUCGGGUGCCUCUCACCAUAUGGUUAAAAAUGCUAAGUUACUUGAGAAUAUAAAAUCCACUAGUGGUCAUGUUGCUACCGGCAAUGGCGAUAGAGUAAACAUAGAAGGCAUAGGUCAAAUUAACUUAUUUGAUAAGAAAUCCGAAGCUUUCUAUAUGCCCCAAUUCACUAGUAACCUCCUUUCGGUGAAAAAGGUAACAAAAGACUUGAAUUGUUAUGUAAAAUUUGGACCUAACGAUGUGCAUUUUCAGGAUAUUAAGAGUGGGAAACUACUUGGAAAGGGAGACACUAAGGAUGAUCUUUAUAUGCUUAAGGCGUAUCCAUUACAAAGUACUUCAAGUGUUUCGGUCUUAAAUCAAGUUCCUUUAUCUAUGAAUGCCACACUAGAAGAUUUAUGGCAUUUUUGUUUAGGUCAUCCUCAUUCGAGGGCUUUAAGUUUAAUUUUCCCAAAUGUUGUUUUUGAUAACUCUAGAUGUGAGGCUUGUAUCCUUGGCAAACAUUGCAAGGCUGUUUUUCCAAACUCUAAAACUAUUUAUGAAAAAUGCUUUGAUUUAGUUCAUUCGGAUGUAUGGACCGCACCUUGUAUCUCAAGGGACCAUAACAAGUAUUUUGUGACUUUCAUUGAUGAAAAAUCAAAAUAUACUUGGCUCACUUUGCUCCCUUCUAAAGACCGUGUACUUGAUGCGUUCCAAAACUUCCAAAAUCAUAUAACUAACCAAUAUAAUGCUAAGAUCAAAGUGUUUAGGUCGGAUAAUGGAGGAGAGUAUACAAGUCAAGCAUUCAAAGAUCAUCUCACAAGACAUGGGAUCAUUCAUCAAACAAGUUGUCCAUAUACACCACAACAAAAUGGUGUGGCCGAGAGAAAGAAUCGACAUUUGAUGGAAGUGGCGAGAUCCAUGAUGUUUCAUCAUAAUGUACCAAAACGUUUUUGGGGAGACGCGGUGUUAUCCGCGUGCUAUCUAAUCAACCGGAUCCCUACAAAGAUCCUACAAAAUGCAUCACCAUUUGAGGUAAUUAAUAAUUCUAAGCCUUCUCUAGAUCACUUACGUGUUUUUGGGAGUGUUUGCUUUGUUCUAGUUCCCGGAGAUCAAAGAAACAAGCUUGAACCGAAAAGCACAAAGUGUAUGUUUCUCGGCUACUCUACUACUCAAAAGGGAUAUAAGUGCUUCAAUCCUUCUACAAAUAGGAUGUUGGUAUCAAGAGACGUUAAAUUCUUCGAAGAACAAAGCUACUUUGAAACAAAGAGUUGGGACAAUGUCAAAGACAUCUCGGAUAGUCCCUCGGAUCGAGCAAAGAGCUUAGAGUUCAUCAUCCAACAUCUUGGUAAUCCGGCACCUACGGCUGAAGCGUCUUCUCCCCAACCUGCUCACGGCAGCCCUCAGCAUGGUUACAAUGAUGAUACUGUACCUACCGGAAAUCAAAUACCAUCGGGUCCUUCUCAAAGCAAUAUGACCGGACAAGACUUGGAGAACUCCUCAGACCAUGACAAUGACAAUGACACUAUUCUUCAUACAGCUCCGGUUCCCCGACGAAGCACACGCCCUCGCAAUCGUCCGGAAAUGUGGAGAGACAAUCAGUUUCAUUACCCGGCUAAUCAAGUCACUUACCCCAUUCAACAAGUUUGCUCGAUGGACCUUCUACCCGCUGAACACAAGGCCUUCUUAAGUCAAAUUGAUGCUCAUAUCAUUCCCCAAAGCUAUGAAGAAGCACAAGGCAAUGAGAAAUGGACAAAAGCGGUAGAUAAUGAAGUGGGAGCGAUGGAAAAGAACAACACAUGGGACGUGGAGGAGCUACCUCCGGGAAAGAGGUGUGUUAGUUCUAAAUGGGUUUUCACCAUAAAGUAUAAGAGUGAUGGUGAAAUUGAGAGAUAUAAGGCUAGGCUAGUGGCAAGAGGGUUUACUCAGACAUAUGGUGAAGACUAUAGAGAAACUUUUGCGCUAGUAGCUAAGCAACACACAGUCAAGGUUGUUCUUUCUCUAGCGGUGAAUAUGGAUUGGGAAUUGUGGCAGAUGGAUGUCAAGAACGCUUUUCUUCAGGGGGAGUUAGAAGAAGAAGUGUAUAUGACACCACCUCCAGGUUUAGAGGAUACAGUGGCUCCAAGGAAGGUGUUAAGACUUCGAAAAGCUAUCUAUGGCCUCAAACAAUCCCCAAGAGCUUGGUAUCACAAGCUGAGAUCAACCUUGCUUAGAGAAGGCUUCAAAAGGUCACAUUCUGAUCACACUUUGUUCACUAAACAGGAUAAUCAAGGAAUUGUAGUAGUUUUGAUCUAUGUUGAUGACUUGAUUAUCUCUGGAAGUAACAAAGCAGGUAUCCAAGCUAUCAAGUCUUCUUUACAUUCUGCUUUUGAUAUUAAAGAUUUGAGUGUUUUGAAGUAUUUCUUAGGGAUUGAGGUGUGUAGAUCCAAGGAGGGACUGUUUCUCUCACAAGGAAAUACGCUCUUGAUCUUCUAAAACUUACAGGAAAGCUUGGAGCUAAACCAGUAGAUACACCACUCGAGCAAGGGUACAAGGUCAAUCGAAAGGGGGAGAAAGAUGACACUCCUUAUCAUUGCCCCGAACAAUACCGAAGACUCGUGGGUAAGCUUAUCUACUUGACAUAUACUCGACCUGAUUUAUCUUUUGCUGUGAAUCAGGUAGCUCAACACAUGCAAGCUCCCACUGUUUAUCAUUGGAGUUUGGUGGAGAGAAUUUUGAGAUAUAUCAAAGGAAGUCCCGGCAAAGGCAUAUGGAUGGGAAGAAACUCUAGCACAGAGAUUGUUGGAUAUUGCGAUGCAGAUUACAAUGGGGAUCGCAACAAAAGACAAUCAACAACUGGUUUUUGUACAUUCAUUGGUGGGAAUCUUGUGACUUGGAAGUCGAAGAAGCAGAAAGUCGUCUCUUGUUCGAGUGCUGAAGCAGAGUAUAGAGCUAUGAAGAAACUCACAAACGAGUUAACAUGGCUAAAGGCUUUGUUAAAGGACUUUGGGAUCGAGCAGAAGACUCCAAUCACUUUUCAUAGUGACAAUCAAGCGGCCAUCCACAUUGCUACCAAUCCCGUGUUCCACGAGAGGACCAAGCACAUAGAGAUGGAUUGCCACAAGACAAGAGAGAAGAUAGAAGAUGGUACGAUUCUCCCUUGUUACACUAAGAGUUCGGACCAAUUGGCCGAUAUCUUUACCAAGGCAGCAAGUAACCAAGUUUGCCAAUUUAUUCAUGGUAAACUUGGUCUUGUAGACCUGACACAUCCUUGAAAAAUAUUCUCCAACUUGUAGGGAUAAUACUCUUUUUCCCUAAGCUUGGUUUUGUCCCACGUGGUUUUCCAAACUUAGGUUUUUAAUGAGGUUAUUCAUACAAGUGCCAAGUUUAUACACAAUUGGGCAUUGUGGUAUAAACUUGAGGGGGAGUGUUAAUCAAGAAGACAUUUAACACUAACUAAGUCAUAGUUAAGGGUUAAAUGUAGGUUACUUGGGUUACUCGGGUUACAGGUUACUUGGGUUACUCGGGUUACAAGUCUGAAUGAGGGUGCUAUUAGUCUUUGUGCACAACCCAUAAACCCUAGAGAGUGUGUUCUCAUAUAAAAGCACUUGUGUGCCUCCACUUUGUAAAAACAAUGUUUAUCCUUUAAUAACAACACUUUUCUCUCAACUAUGAUUCUUCAUUAAUCCAAA